rnacentral:rRNA from 1 species
ACGAACGCUGGCGGCAUGCCUAACACAUGCCAGUCGAACGCGACCUUCGGGUCUAGUGGCGCACGGGUGCGUAACGCGUGGGAACCUGCCCUUAGGUUCGGAAUAACUCCCCGAAAGGGGUGCUAAUACCGGAUAAUGUCUUCGGACCAAAGAUUUAUCGCCUUUGGAUGGGCCCGCGUUGGAUUAGCUAGUUGGUAGGGUAAAAGCCUACCAAGGCGACGAUCCAUAGCUGGUCUGAGAGGAUGAUCAGCCACACUGGGACUGAGACACGGCCCAGACUCCUACGGGAGGCAGCAGUGGGGAAUAUUGGACAAUGGGCGAAAGCCUGAUCCAGCAAUGCCGCGUGAGUGAUGAAGGCCUUAGGGUUGUAAAGCUCUUUUACCCGGGAUGAUAAUGACAGUACCGGGAGAAUAAGCUCCGGCUAACUCCGUG